UGAGGAAUAUUGGGCAAUGCCCGCAAGGGUGACCCAGCAACGCCGCGUGGAGGAUGAAUGUCGUAAGAUUGUAAACUCCUGUUAGAGGGGAAGAAUAGUACCGGUUGGACCGGUAUAUGACUGUACCCUCAGAGAAAGCCCCGGCUAACUACGUGCCAGCAGCCGCGGUAAUACGUAGGGGGCAAGCGUUGUCCGGAUUUACUGGGUGUAAAGGGCGCGCAGGCGGGAUAAAAAGUCAGUGGUGAAAUCCUACAGCUUAACUGUAGAACUGCCUUGGAAACUUUUAUGCUUGAGUUCGGGAGAGAGAGACGGAAUUCCUGGUGUAGUGGUGAAAUACGUAGAUAUCUGGAAGAACACCAGUUGCGAAGGCGGUCUCUUGGUCCGACACUGACGCUGAGGCGCGAAAGCGUGGGGAG
rnacentral:rRNA from 1 species